AAAAGUGGUUUAAGCAAGAGGCUGAGUGGUCGCUAUAGAUGUUAUUUACUCUUGAUAGAUGAACCUGCCUAAGUGAGUUCAAAACUUUUGACCCCCUUGAUUUUUUGGCCUUCCAUGUAUUUUCUUUACGGAUGGCCCAAGGGCUUUGUGCUUUCUUCAGGUGAACCGGAGCAGAUCCUGGCUAUUGAAUACCGUUCUGAUUUUGUUUAUUUUGCAUGCAUCACGGCAUCUGUGCUCUACGUCUGGUCUGGACAGCAAGAUCGAAUAUUAUUGGGGCGCUACAGAAGGACAGUUGCAUCAAUCGAAAAAGAUGGAAACAACGAGGGCGUUUAUUGGAGGCCUUGUGGAAAUUUAGCUUUAUUUACAGAAGGAGGGUCCAUUUAUAUGAUUAAGCUGCGCUCGCUUAUGGACGAGUCGGACGGAGAGGGCUUUUUCGAAGGCGCGCACUACAUCAAAGAAAAAUUUCGGUGCCAAGUCAAACUCUCGCUCGAUAGAGUUUUUUUGGCAUCCGGGAACAGAAUCGCUUGGCUGUUUGAGAAAAACAGCAGCUUUUACCUGUGUACAUGCAAUGGAAUCUUACAGAGUUGGUCUAUGGCGAAAGACAAACACCCUCUUAAAUGGGAGACGUCUGUGGCAUUUAUCGCACGCACUGCUCAGACAAACACUGAAAUAUUGACAUGCCAGGAGGAAAAAAGGCAGAACUCGUCAGCGAACACCUGCCAAGUGCAGGAGACUGAAUCUAGCGAGUAUCAAUGCGAGAAGGAAGGAGAUAUUGAAGGACACGUCAGGAAGGUAGCAUAUUCUCAUCAGAGUGGGCUGAUGAUGUUAGUAUUAAAAGGAGGCAAGGUGGCGGCGCUUAAAGGAGAUUUGACAAAUGGAUUUAAGUAUUUAAAAUUUUUUUGGCUUUUUACAGAAAAUGCGGUUGAUGUGGCAAUCAGUAGUCACAAGAAGCUGAUAGCAAUUGGAUAUCUGUCGGGAGAUGUAGAUUUGUACAAUUUCGAUUUUAAGUUUGAGAGGAGAUUGUCUUUGGGUCCUUGGGGAAUUAAGCAAGUAGAUAGCGGCCAAGUGAGCUGUCUUGCCUGGUCUCAUGAUGAGAAUGCCUUGGCCGUGGGAUAUUUGACUCGCGGGUUUUCUAUUUGGUCCAAUUAUGGAUGUCGCUUGAAUUGCACGAUUUCCCAGAUGAACGUGAUAUUGGAACAUAGUCGAGAUGAUCGAGCGAACGAGGAGCAAGCGCAGAGUGUGGAGAGUAAUGCUCCGAAUAUGACGAAGAUUGAGUCGAUGUUGAAGCCGGAAGCAGCGAGACAUGGAUUAACGCAUAUAGUGUGGGGUCCCGAAGGUUAUCAUAUUCUGACAGCUUCUCGCGUCAAUGUACUGGACCAAUAUGCAGUGGUGAAGGCGUCUGUUGCGGCCAAUUCUGGCAUCAAUGAAUGCAGACGCAUAUUGCUGCAGGGAGAGGACAGUGUGUUGUUGUUGCAGAAUUAUGGAAAGGGGGCAUCUCGGCUGCAUUGGAAGCGGCUGGUUGUUCCCAGUGCCUUUGUACACGACAAUUGGCCCGUUAUGAGUGUGUGUACGAAUACCCGAGGCGAUUAUCUGGCGGUGAGUGGACAUCGAGGGGUGAGCAUAUGCAACGUUCAAACGGGUUCCUGGAAAUUGUUUUGGGACGUUUCAGAAGAGAGACAGCUAGAAGACGUCGUCAUGACUUGGUUUGAUUCUUUUUUGGUGGUUGCUAAUUAUUGUGGCAAAAAGCGUACAACUGAAAUUUUUUUUUUCUGCCAAAGCAGACCUUUGGCAUUUGGUCAGGCUGCUUUUCGCGAGAGGUAUACAAAUCAGUCUAGGCCGGUUUGUCUGGUUUGCAGCGGAUCCAAUUUGAUGUUACAGACAGAGGAGACGUGCACUCAGUACGAAGUUGUCGAGGCACACGAAAGGGGGCGCACGAUUUCUUUGAGACAGAUCUACGGCGUUCGGAUGUCCGAAGGGUGGUCGCGUCCUAGAUUGGUCUGUCUUCUGCCGACAGGCGUCAAGGUGCUUUUCGAAAAGAAGGAGCGUUGCGCAAAGUUCAACAAUCGAGGGUCUACCGCCAAAUUGGUGGAAUUGGAUAAAGCAGGUGCCAUGUAUUUGACUGAUGCAGAGAGAUCAACAAAACUUGAGCUCAGUCGAUCCGUGGAACAAUUUUGGCUCAUGGAAGAGGGCAUAGAGGGAUCUGAUUGUAUGCUAUGGGUGUACGGAGAAGCAGGUUUAGACGUUUGGUAUCCUUUUUUGUCAUCAUCCAACGAUGGUCCGGAAUUGUUUUUGUCUCACUGGAGGAGAAUGGAAUUUGAUCAUGAGGUGUGUCCACUUGGAUUUUUGGCUGACAGUGGUACGAUUAUUGGUAUUUCUCAGCACCAAGUACAUUUAUCUAUGGUUGACACUCCACAUUUCGAGCUUCAGCUGAAGGUACAGCCUUACCUUCACUACGUGUUGCUUUCAAUGUUGGAGGGAGGAGACUUCAGCACUGCCCAGUGGCUUGCUGAAAGAUAUCGCUUGUCACCUUUGUUUAAUCGGUUUUUGGAGUUGCUGCUCCACGAGGCGCUUCAGAUACAGUGCUCAUUGGAGCGCAAAUCUUCCAAGAGUAGCCUGGCGCAGGACAGGGGCGGUAAGUUGGUUGAAGAAGACAGAAAAGGUGAUUCUGGUCGUUACAUAGAGGAAGACGACGGAGAAAAGUCAGAAGCAUCUGUCAGACCUUUGAACGACGCCGCGGCCGAGAGGGAGCCGAGCCUGAUUUGGAGGGCGUUAUCCUCUUCUCGUAAGAAGUCAAGUCCGAUGCUUCUUAAGGACGUACUGUCUUUUUUAAAAAUGUUCGAAGAGAUUGUUUAUAUGAGCACAAUUGUGGCCUGCGCAAGAAAGUCUGAUCCCGAGAGUUGGUCAGUUUUGUUUGAUCCGAAGUUUGGCUGUUCGAAUCCGAAGGUGUAUUUCGAAAAGAGUUUAGAGUUGGAGAAUAUAUCAGUGGCGAUGUCUUAUCUUCGGGUUAUUCAAUUGUUAGAGUCUCCUGAAGACUUUUAUCAGUCAGGUCUGAAAUGUUUAGAAUUUUGUCUGCGCACCAACGAUAAAAAACUUGGACAGCUGAUGCGGUUUUUGAAGCCAUACAUGAUCUGUAAAAAUGAUGAAGGUGAUCAGCUCGGAGAUGCAGAACUUGAUGCAUCAUCGAGGUUUCUUCCCUUGCAAGAGAAGCUUUUGUUGGAACAUGCCGAGAAUUUGAUGACUAAUUUCCAAUUCAGGCGUCUGAUUGAUUAUGCUAGAACCGUUGGUCAUGACCUUCGAACGUGGCUGAUUCAAAAGAAAGACCUUUUGAAUUCAAAGGAGGAGGAUUAUGAAUCGAUUCUUUCACAGCUCCAUACGCAAUUUGAUGUUCCUCGGCCUACUCACUUCCCUUUGAACUAUCUGCUCCAUAAUGCGGGAAGUGGUAACAACUUGGUUGACUACUCCAUUAUCUACUUUCCCAACUCGAACUAUCUGAUCGAGAAGCCCCAUAAACCCCAGGGUGGUUCUCACGGCUUUUCUCUUGAGAAAUCCAAUCUCGCCGAUGUUUACGCUCAGAUGGAGGAAAGCAACGUGGUUCGUUCUUUUCAGGAUUUGGAGGUCCUACUCCGAGAAACGUUAGCGUCUGGCUGUACUGUCUGGGCCCUCAUUUUGGCUACAAUCUUAUUUCGACUCCCCGUCAUUAUUAAAAUUCUGGGUCGCCACCCAGAAUAUCUGCAAAAGUACAGGGAAAUGAUUCAAAUGGAUGACUCAAAUGGAUACACCGAACUUUUGGCAUAUAUAGAACAACAGCUAUAGCAUUUUUAAUCUACGUUCGUUAAUUAGAGCUGAUUUGACCAAGGACUUUGGGCAGUUUGUUUCUUUUUUUUUUGACACGAAAAACUAUGAUAAAAGUUGAAGUUGGUUACUUUUUUUUUUCCAGCCGACAAGGCCGAUAUAGCCACUUAAAGCUUCUUAAGUCCCUCAUCUUCGAGGCUUGUACGUGGAGUCCCAAAUGCCAUCACUUUUUCGCGUUAUCUCGCUUAAAAAAAAACUGUUUGAACGCGGUUUUUUUUUUAUGAAGGGCAGACUUUGAUUCGACGCGCCCACAUACAAGCGAUGCGUGGGGACCUGUCCGAUUUUUCGUAGUUCUGCACGUUUUCGCCAUCGAAAGCCUUCAAGUUUCUGAAGUUCGUUGGUUUCAGCCGCGACGAGUCCCAUAUUACGUGUAAGCAGCUCUCAGCAUAUACAUUACACACAAACGUGUAUAAAGAAGAGCUAGUCAAAGUUUGCCAUAUAUUUCCCCAUUGCGAGCUCGACCGAGUGGAGACUUUAGGCGUUGUGCUUUUUCCCAGACACAUUUGGAUGAAUUGGCUAGUUUACGUACUGGACAGCCUUGGCCGCGAGAGAGACCAUGGCGAGCUAUCUUGACGGCUAUCUUGAGAGUGCGUUUUUUUUUUUAAUUUCCGGACGUUUGCGCUCUUUUGCUGAUUUCGUCCGCUGCAGGUAUUGCCACGCUUCCGGUGGACCUGGAUAGGUGUUUUACUCUUAUUCGAGAGUUGGAUGAAAAAUCUCAGUGUACGUUCCUUUAGAGAGACCUGUCGGACGUUGUCGCACACAAUCCGUGUGUCUAAGACAAAACGAAAAAUGGAGUCCUUUUAGACAAAGUGGAGACUAUGGUGGUCAGGAACAUCGAGGAGGGUGUCGAACUAGAUGAAUCAGUUACGGAAGAGACGAUCAAGGAGCUUUAUCAGGACUUGAAAGUGUGUGCCUCGCUUGGUGAUGAGAGAAUUUCAUUGGCUGCUCAGGCUUACGAGCAGGUACGAUUUUUUUAUCACGCGCGCCGUACGGCAUACAAAGUGCUUACAAAAAGGGUGUUAGCUUGACAAGCACAUAGCGCGUUUGGAUCAGGACUUGAAAAGAGUUGAGCAGGAUCUUCAGCGGCGAGGGAGUGCGUUUCGAGGAGAGGAUCAGGAGCCCAAGACGCCGAGUGAUGUGAGGGGGUCGUUAUCUUUUAGAGAGAUGCCCGAUAUGGUGUCCCAUGUUGAGAGCGAGCCGACGUGAGUUACUGUUAGAUUGGAGGAGGUGGGUGGUGCAGAGACGAGGCGUGGUGCGCGGUACGAGGUAGUUUUAGAUGAGCGUGGGGAGAGUUGAGAGAGGAGCAUGUUGAUAGAGAUGGUGGGUUGCAGUGAGAGAGUUACGCGGUUCUUUUGGCGCGUUUAUACGUUUGUGUAAAGGAUAAUA